rnacentral:pre_miRNA from 1 species
GGGAGCCAAAUGCUUUGCUAGAGCUGGUAAAAUGGAACCAAAUCGACUGUCCAAUGGAUUUGGUCCCCUUCAACCAGCUGUAGCUGUGCAUUGAGGGC